rnacentral:rRNA from 1 species
AUACGUAGGUGGCAAGCGUUGUCCGGAUUUAUUGGGCGUAAAGCGAGCGCAGGCGGUUCCUUAAGUCUGAUGUGAAAGCCCACGGCUUAACCGUGGAAGGUCAUUGGAAACUGGGGAACUUGAGUGCAGAAGAGGAGAGUGGAAUUCCAUGUGUAGCGGUGAAAUGCGUAGAUAUAUGGAGGAACACCAGUGGCGAAGGCGACUCUCUGGUCUGUAACUGACGCUGAGGCUACGAAAGCGGUGGGGAGC